UACGUAGGUGACCAGCGUUGUCCGGAUUUACUGGGCGUAAAGAGCGCGCAGGCGGUCGUUCAAGUCGAGUGUGAAAGCCCCCGGCUCAACUGGGGAGGGUCAUUCGAUACUGAUCGACUUGAAGGCAGGAGAGGGAAGUGGAAUUCCCGGUGUAGUGGUGAAAUGCGUAGAUAUCGGGAGGAACACCAGUGGCGAAGGCGACUUCCUGGCCUGUUCUUGACGCUGAGGCGCGAAAGCUAGGGGAGCAAACGGGG
rnacentral:rRNA from 1 species